rnacentral:snRNA from 1 species
GGGUUGAGUUGGGGUCUUUCACUGGCUUCAACAUCUGCCACCCUAUUGACUGCCAUGUUGAUUCGGCUGAUCUGAAUGGCUUCCUCUUCCUUGCUCAUGGUUCCAUGCGUCCCUCCUGAAGCCACAACCUUCCCAGAAGAGAGGGGACUCCCUCUCCAGUCUUCAGUCAAGGGUUGUAAAAGUAUCUGUGCUCUCUCCAGCUAGAACCUCCAAGCAAGCUCUCAGGAAUGAUUUGGUGGCAGUAAAGUGUGUAGAAAAGGAGAGGGAUUCAAGAAAACUUGGUUACCUCCAUUU